rnacentral:rRNA from 1 species
UACAGAGGGUGCGAGCGUUGUCCGGAAUCACUGGGCGUAAAGGGCGCGUAGGUGGUGACCUAAGCGUGCGGUGAAAGCCCGAGGCUCAACCUCGGGUCGGCCGUGCGAACUGGGUCACUGGAGCAGAAUAGAGGCAGGUGGAAUUCCGGGUGUAGCGGUGGAAUGCGUAGAGAUCCGGAAGAACACCGGUGGCGAAGGCGGCCUGCUGGGUUCUGGCUGACACUGAGGCGCGACAGCGUGGGGAGCAAACAGG